UACGGAGGGGACUAGCGUUGUUCGGAAUUACUGGGCGUAAAGCGCACGUAGGCGGAUUUGUAAGUCAGGGGUGAAAUCCCGGGGCUCAACCUCGGAACUGCCUUUGAUACUGCAAAUCUCGAGUCCGGAAGAGGUGAGUGGAAUUCCUAGUGUAGAGGUGAAAUUCGUAGAUAUUAGGAAGAACACCAGUGGCGAAGGCGGCUCACUGGUCCGGUACUGACGCUGAGGCACGAAAAGCGUGGGGAAGCAAACAGG
rnacentral:rRNA from 1 species